GAUGAAGAACGUAGCGAAAUGCGAUACUUGGUGUGAAUUGCAGAAUCCCGUGAACCAUCGAGUCUUUGAACGCAAGUUGCGCCCGAAGCCAUUAGGCCGAGGGCACGCCUGCCUGGGUGUCACACGUCGUUGCCCCCCCAUCUACUCCUUCGGGAUUGCGGGGGGCGGAUGAUGGCCUCCCGUGCGCCUCGUCGCGCGGUUGGCAUAAAUGCCAAGUCCUCGGCGACGCACGCCACGACAAUCGGUGGUUGCGAAACCUCGGUUGCCCGUCGUGUGCGGUCGUCGCGCAUCGAGGGCUCGAAAAAAUUGCCGGGCUCCGGCUCGGCUUUCAACGCGACCCCAAGUCAGGCGGGGUUACCCGCUGAAUUUAAGCAUAUCAAUAAGCGGAGGA
rnacentral:misc_RNA from 1 species